AUUGAACGCUGGCGGCAGGCCUAAUACAUGCAAGUCGAGCGAGCGGCGGACGGGCGAGUAAUGUAUGGAGAUCUGACCGAUCGAGGGGGAUAACGACUGGAAACGGUGGCUAAUACCGCAUACUAUAGGAUGAACUCAAAUUGGAUUAGCUAGUAGGUGGGGUAAAGGCUCACCUAGGAGACGAUGUCUAGCUGGUCUGAGAGGAUGAUCCGCCACACUGGGACUGAGACACGGCCAAGACUCCUACGGGAGGCAGCAGUGGGGAAUAUUGCACAAUGGGCGCAAGCCUGAUGCAGCCAUGCCGCGUGUAUGAAGAAGGCCUUAGGAUUGUAAAGUACUUUCAGCAGGGAAGCGUUACCCGCAGAGGAAGCAACGGCUAACUCCGUGCCAGCAGCCGCGGUAAUUC
rnacentral:rRNA from 1 species